CUACGUGCCAGCAGCCGCGGUAAUACGUAGGUGGCAAGCGUUGUCCGGAAUUAUUGGGCGUAAAGCGCGCGCAGGUGGUUUAAUAAGUCUGAUGUGAAAGCCCACGGCUCAACCGUGGAGGGUCAUUGGAAACUGUUAAACUUGAGUGCAGGAGAGAAAAGUGGAAUUCCUAGUGUAGCGGUGAAAUGCGUAGAGAUUAGGAGGAACACCAGUGGCGAAGGCGGCUUUUUGGCCUGUAACUGACACUGAGGCGCGAAAGCGUGGGGAGCAAACAGGAUUAGAUACCCUGGUAGUCCACGCUGUAAACGAUGUCGACUUGGAGGUUGUGCCCUUGAGGCGUGGCUUCCGGAGCUAACGCGUUAAGUCGACCGCCUGGGGAGUACGGCCGCAAGGUUAAAACUCAAAUGAAUUGACGGGGGCCCGCACAAGCGGAGGAACAUGUGGUUUAAUUCGAUGAUACGCGAGGAACUUUACCCGGGCUUGAAUUGCAGAGGAAGGAUUUAGAGAUA
rnacentral:rRNA from 1 species